rnacentral:rRNA from 2 species
UGGAGAAUCCCGUGAACCAUCGAGUCUCUGAACGUAAGUUGCGCUUGAAGCCAUUAAGCCGAUAGCGCACUUGCCUGGACGCACACGUCGUUGCCCCCCAGCACCUCUCUUGGAAGUGUCGGUGGGUAGACGAUGGCUUUCAGUAAAUCACCACGCGUGGUUGGCACAAAUGUUUAGUCUUUGGCAACGAAGGCCACGACGAUCAUUGGUUGUCAAACCUCGGUUGCCUGUUGUGCACUUUCACUAAGCUCUGGGCGGCUCACGAUGCUCACUCCUUUGCUACGACGAAGCCUUCAACGCGACCCCAGGUCAGGCAGGGUUACUCGCUAAA